rnacentral:rRNA from 1 species
UACGGAGGAGGCAAGCGUUAUCCGGAAUUAUUGGGCGUAAAGCGUCCGCAGGUGGCACUUCAAGUCUGUCGUCAAAGACUGGGGCUUAACCCUGGAAAGGCGGUGGAAACUGAAGCGCUAGAGUGCGGUAGGGGUAGAGGGAAUUCCCGGUGUAGCGGUGAAAUGCGUAGAGAUCGAGAGGAACACCUGUGGCGAAGGCGGGUCUCUGGACAGUUCCUGACGCUGAGGCACGAAAGCCAGGGGAGCAAACGGG